GACGAACCGUGCAAACGUUGUUCGGAAUCACUGGGCUUAAAGGGCGCGUAGGCGGGCCAGCCAGUCUGUGGUGAAAGCCUCCAGCUUAACUGGAGAAGUGCCGUGGAUACUGCUGGCCUCGAGGAGGAUAGGGGCAUCUGGAACGGUCGGUGGAGCGGUGAAAUGCGUUGAUAUCGACCGGAACUCCGGUGGCGAAGGCGAGGUGCUGGGUCCUUUCUGACGCUGAUGCGCGAAAGCCAGGGGAGCAAAC
rnacentral:rRNA from 1 species